CACGUAGGGUGCGAGCGUUGUCCGGAAUUAUUGGGCGUAAAGGGCUCGUAGGCGGUCUGUCGCGUCGGGCGUGAAAACUCAGGGCUUAACCCUGAGCCUGCUUCCGAUACGGGCAGACUAGAGGUAUGCAGGGGAGAACGGAAUUCCUGGUGUAGCGGUGAAAUGCGCAGAUAUCAGGAGGAACACCGGUGGCGAAGGCGGUUCUCUGGGCAUUACCUGACGCUGAGGAGCGAAAGUGUGGGGAGCGAACAGG
rnacentral:rRNA from 1 species